rnacentral:rRNA from 1 species
CCCAGUGACUUUGUUCAACGGCCGCGGUAUCCUAACCGUGCGAAGGUAGCGUAAUCACUUGUUCUUUAAAUGAGGACUAGUAUGAAUGGCCCCACGAGGGCUGCACUGUCUCCUUUUUCUAAUCAAUGAAACUAAUCUCCCCGUGAAGAAGCGGGGAUAACGCUAUAAGACGAGAAGACCCUAUGGAGCUUUAAACAACUGAAGCAUUUGCUUUUCUAUUAGCCUCUUCCGAGCUCUUUAUCUUACUUAAGCAUUUUUACUUCUAGUUUUAGGUUGGGGUGACCACGGAGCAAAAUUAAACCUCCAUGAAGAAAUGAAUACUUUUAAGCCACAAACUACUUUUUUAAGCAUCAACAAAUUGACCUUCAUUGACCCAAUAUAUUGAUCAACGAACCAAGUUACCCUAGGGAUAACAGCGCAAUCUACUUCAAGAGCUCAUAUCGACAAGUAGGUUUACGACCUCGAUGUUGGAUCAGGGUAUCCUAGUGGUGCAGCCGCUACUAAUGGUUCGUUUGUU